AUGGCUUCCACCCUCCUUCCAAAGCUUGUGACCACGGAUCUGGCUCCUCCCACCGUUCCUUCCCCUCUCCUGCUUGGAGCCACGUGUGACCACAGAUCUGGCUCUCCUCCACCAGCGGCAGCAGGGAUGGCGCGGAUCCACCUCUUCUCCACAAGCGCCGGCCGAGACGACGUGGAUUCGCAUCUCCUCCUCCCUCCCUGCCAUGGCCGCCUUUAUAUGCUGCGCCCCCGCCUCGCAGCUCUGCCUCUGGACGGAGAUCUGGAGGAGUACCCGCCGCUCACCGUGGCUUCAAUCCUUCUUCCCAACUGGCCCCAGAGGCACAACAUUAAGGGUGCAAGCUCGACUGAUUCAACAGUCUGCCUUGGCGUGAUGGCUCCCCGUCAACAACCAGGAACAAGCCCAGCGCGCCGUCGGCAGCCACCGUAG
rnacentral:rRNA from 1 species